rnacentral:rRNA from 1 species
UACGAAGGGGGCUAGCGUUGUUCGGAAUUACUGGGCGUAAAGCGCGUGUAGGCGGGUCUUUAAGUCAGGGGUGAAAUGCCAGGGCUCAACCUUGGAACUGCCUUUGAUACUGGAGACCUUGAGUCCGGGAGAGGUGAGUGGAAUUGCGAGUGUAGAGGUGAAAUUCGUAGAUAUUCGCAAGAACACCAGUGGCGAAGGCGGCUCACUGGCCCAGAACUGACGCUGAGACGCGAAAGCGUGGGGAGCAAACAGG